UCAUCCGCAUCCCUAGUACUGCGAGUGAGCGGGAAGAGCUCAAAUUUCAAAUCUGGCGCCCUUGUGGACGUCCGAGUUGUAGUCUGGAGAAGUGUUAUCCGCGUCGGACCGUGUACAAGUCUCCUGGAACGGAGCGUCAUAGAGGGUGAGAAUCCCGUCCAUGACACGGACGCCCGAUGCUAUGUGAGGCACUCUCAAAGAGUCGAGUUGUUUGGGAAUGCAGCUCAAAAUGGGUGGUAAAUUCCAUCUAAAGCUAAAUAUUGGCGAGAGACCGAUAGCGAACAAGUACCGUGAGGGAAAGAUGAAAAGCACUUUGGAAAGAGAGUUAAACAGUACGUGAAAUUGUUGAAAGGGAAACGCUUGAAGUCAGUCGCGUCCCGUGGAACUCAGCCUGGUUUCGACCUGGUGUACUUUCCAUGCGGGACGGGUCAACGUCAAUUUCGGCCGGUGGACAAGGGCGAGGGGAAUGUAGCGUUGCUUCGGCGACGUGUUAUAGCCCCCCGUCGUAUACACCGGGCGGGAUUGAGGACGGCAGCACGCCCUUGUGGCCGGGGGGGUUCGCCCCCCACGUAACGUGCUUAGGAUGUUGGCAUAAUGGCUUUAAGCGACCCGUCUUGAAACCACGGACCA
rnacentral:rRNA from 1 species